ACACGUCUACAUUAGAUACCCGGGUAGUCCCAGCCGUAAACUAUGCGCGUUAGGUGUAUCGGUGACCACGAGUCACCGAGGUGCCGAAGGGAAACCGUGAAACGUGCCGCCAGGGAAGUACGGUCGCAAGGCUGAAACUUAAAGGAAUUGGCGGGGAGCACCACAACGGGUGGAGCCUGCGGUUUAAUUGGACUCAACGCCGGGAAGCUCACCGGAUAAGACAGCGGAAUGAUUGCCGGGCUGAAGACUCUGCAUGACUAGCUG
rnacentral:rRNA from 1 species